rnacentral:tRNA from 1 species
UUUAAGAUAAGCUAAAUUAAGCUUUUGGGUUCAUACCCCAAAUAUAAAGAAAAUACCUUUUCUUAAAU